AAGAGACAGCAGCAGCCGCGGUAAUACAGAGGGUGCAAGCGUUAAUCGGAAUUACUGGGCGUAAAGCGCGCGUAGGUGGUUUGUUAAGUUGGAUGUGAAAGCCCCGGGCUCAACCUGGGAACUGCAUCCAAAACUGGCAAGCUAGAGUCUUGUAGAGGGGGGUAGAAUUCCAGGUGUAGCGGUGAAAUGCGUAGAGAUCUGGAGGAAUACCGGUGGCGAAGGCGGCCCCCUGGACAAAGACUGACGCUCAGGUGCGAAAGCGUGGGGAGCAAACAGGAUUAGAUACCCAUGUAGUCCCUGUCUCUUAUAC
rnacentral:rRNA from 1 species